rnacentral:rRNA from 1 species
GACGAACGCUGGCGGCGUGCUUAACACAUGCAAGUCGAACGGAAAGGCCCUGCUUUUGUGGGGUUCUCGAUUGGCGAACGGGUGAGUAACACGUGAGUAACCUGCCCUUGACUUUGGGAUAACUUCAGGAAACUGGGGCUAAUACCGGAUAGGAGCUCCUGCUGCAUGGUGGUGGUUGGAAAGUUUCGGCGGUUGGGGAUGGACUCGCGGCUUAUCAGCUUGUUGGUGGGGUAGUGGCUUACCAAGGCUUUGACGGGUAGCCGGCCUGAGAGGGUGACCGGCCACAUUGGGCCUGAGAUACGGACCAGAAUCCUACGGGAGGCAGCAGUGGGGAAUAUUGCACAAUGGGCGGAAGCCUGAUGCAGAAACGCCGCGUGCGGGAUGACGGCCUUCGGGUUGUAAACCGAUUUCGCCUGUGACGAAGCGUGAGUGACGGUAAUGGGUAAAGAAGCAACGGCUAACUACGUG